AAUUACUCUCAACUCGAUCUUCUUUUUAUUUGAAGGAGGUUGGGCUUGGAUUUUGGAGGCUUGCCGGCCUUGGAGUCAGCUCCUCUUGAAUGCAUAAGUGGGGGAACUUUUGUAGAAGGGUUUUUACCUUUGGUGUGAUAAUUAUUUACACCGUUGGUCCUUUUAUGUACACCUGCUUCCUAACCGUCUUUUUGUUGAGACAGCUUAUUGAA
rnacentral:misc_RNA from 1 species